rnacentral:rRNA from 1 species
CCUACGGGUGGCAGCAGUGAGGAAUAUUGGUCAAUGGACGAGAGUCUGAACCAGCCAAGUAGCGUGAAGGAUGACUGCACUAUGGGUUGUAAACUUCUUUUAUCUGGGAAUAAAAUGUUCCACGUGUGGGAUUUUGUAUGUACCAUAUGAAUAAGAAUCGGCUAACUCCGUGCCAGCAGCCGCGGUAAUACGGAGGAUCCGAGCAUUAGCCGGAUUUAUUGGGUUUAAGGGGAGCGUAGGUGGAUUGUUAAGUCAGUUGUGAAAGUUUGCGGCUCAACCGUAAAAUUGCAGUUGAAACUGGCAGUCUUGAGUACAGUAGAGGUGGGCGGAAUUCGUGGUGUAGCGGUGAAAUGCUUAGAUAUCACGAAGAACUCCGAUUGCGAAGGCAGUUCACUGGACUGCAACUGACACUGAGGCUCGAAAGUGUGGGUAUCAAACAGGAUUAGAUACCCUUGUAGUC